CCUUAAAUGAAGAUUCAAGCAGGACCCUAAAAAGAAUUUAUUUAAUGGCACUGGAAGAAUUCACGGGGUAAUUUUUAUACAACCCGUGAUCUCUUAGUGGCAUCUAUGGUGCGGGAACAAAACAUCCAAGUGAAACAAAAUACAAAUCAAUCUAUGGUUCAAAAUGUGUUAAUGUGAACUGCAUUAAAUCGCACCUCAAACUUCAAAGUCAGCCCCAAAACAAUCUAAUUCAUAAAUUCAAAAUCUAAACCAAGGAAAACCUUUCCCCAAAAAAUUGGAAAAAAACGAGAACGAGAAGUGAGUGGAGCGGAACGAGUUGAUGGAGAGUUUAUGGGGCCGGACAUGGAGGCAGCCUUGAAAAAUCACCUUUCACACCGCCUAGAGUUCCCGGUUCUCUCUUAUUUUUUGCCCACAAUUAACAGUUCAAUGAACCAGGCCGUCGACUCUUCGUACCCGUGGUCGUGUCCCUUGAAGUUCCAGCCCAGCGGAUGAAAGAAGAAACGAACACACAAAGUACCAAUCUCCCGAAGAAUAGCACAAAACCCAUGGAUAAUAGCCCAAUGGAGCUGUUGGGCAUGCCAUCACUACAAAAAAAGGAAAAUAAAGACUCACAUACAGAUACAAAAAAAGAGCGAGUGAGGUACAAAAAAAAGAUAAUUAACUUUUUUUCUUUUAGCACUAAGUAUGCCAAAGAGGAAGCACUAACAACAGCAACAGCAACAAAUUACAACACAUUACAAUGGUGGGGGGUUCGGCCAGUGUGAGAGAGUUCCCUUAAGAAAGGGGUAGCCCGUCUCUUUCCGUCCGGUAUCCCCGUCUUUUUCCCCGCUAAACGCUUCAAUGAUUUUGUCAUGCAUAAAUUUCGCAGGUCUGCUGAAAUUUCUGCACUCUGCCAGCCAAGAAUCAAAUAAAUUCCGGCACAGACCUCUUUUUCCCUUCUGGCCAAGUUCCGCUCGAGCACUUUUGAGCGGGAAAAGGGGCUUGUAAUGAUGAUGCUUCCUGUUUGUCGGCCGCACAUAUAUUUAUGAAACACCUUUCGCGUUGAUAAGUCCCAGACGGAGCUACAAUUGAAGCUUGUACUUAAUUAUGUCUGGUACGCCGACCCGGCUUUUCUUUGAUCUUCUGAUGAGAAAGAAUUUGGAGAAUUGAGAAGGAAUUUUAGCAACUAUUCACUUGAUAUUAAAAGGUAAACUAAUAGGUAAUAUAAAAGAAUGUGGACAAAUUAUAAUUAAAAUGUAAUCCUAUAG